ACACUUGCAAAGAGGUAAGACAUGAAACUAACUGAAUCUUCAAACUUUAGAGGGGAAGCUUGUAAUGAUAGGUAUGUAUAGCGAUGAUCACUCUACCCAUACUGCAGAUCCUAUCACUCUAUAGCCCAAGAAAUAAAGUACUUUAUCCAGAUAUUUUUUUCCAGAAAAAAAAAAAUGCAGAAGUUAGAGGUUCAGUAUUUGUUUCUGAGCCAUAAUAACAGUAAGGACCUUGUUAGAACAAAAAUAUGCAAGUGGCUAUAGUAGUUCAAGACUAAGUGUCUAGCAAAUCAAAUAUUUCGUGUUCAUAACCAGGCAUGUAAGAGAGCAUAGUAGAGUAAAUGUAGAUGUUAUUUUCUCUCCUUGUACUCUUCAACUCCAUAGGUACUUUCUACUCAGCAAAUUUGCUGAGCUUGUUAUAAUUUAAUCUAUUCUGGAGGGCUGCUGUUUCAAAUACUUCUCCAGUUUCCCUUGAAGUCAUGUACAUUUCUUAUAUCUGCAGUGUCCUUCAGCAGCACAAUCCAUUGGAUAACCACUCUCUCUCUCUCAAGUGAAUUAACUACUUCAGAUUUGAACUAGUCUCUUGCUCACUUCAUUUGUUCAACCUCCAUUUUUGCAAUGGAGAAAAUUGUGAACUUGAACUCUUAAUCACUACCAAAUCUUGUCUUGCCUUUUAUGAUUUCAUAGACCUCUUCUACAUCCUUCCUGAGGCUGCAGUCUAUUACAGUACCAAGGUCUCUCUCAUAAGGAGCAGCAGUCAGCCUACAAUGACAGAGACAGAUGUGGUGGCAUAGCAGUACAGGUUGAACCUUUCUGCCAAUAUUCUGUUACAUUUUGUUGCCAUGUGACAGAUGGCAGCAGAGGGGCACACUGACAAAACAGCAUCUGAUGUGGAAGUACAUAUGAAGCAAAGGUAUGGAACUGAAUUCCUCCAUGUAGAAAAAACAAAAUCCAUUGACAUUCAU
ensembl:lncRNA